UAUUUGAUAGUGCCUUUACUUGGAUAACUGUUGGAAUCCGAGAGCUAAUACAUGCAAAUGGCUCUGACUAGGUGCAAGCCUGGAAGGAGUGUAUUUAUUAGAUGUGAAACCAAUGCUGGGUAUUCCAAACUGCGCGUUGGGGGCAACCCCGGCGUGUGGGCUCAGAUUGUAUGGUGAAUCAUGAUAACUCUGCGAAUCGCAUGACCUUGCGUCGGCGAUGAUUCAUUCAAAUUUCUGCCCUAUCAACUUGACGAUAGUAUAGAGGACUAUCGUGGUUUUAACGGGUGACGGAGCAUUAGGGUGCGAUGCCGGAGAGGGAGCCUGAGAAACGGCUACCACGUCUACGGGCGGCAGCAGGCGCGUAAAUUACCCAAUCCUGACACAGGGAGGUAGUGACAAUAAAUAACAAUACUCGCCCCGAAUAGGGGAGAGUAAUUGGAAUGAGAACGAUUUAAAACUACUAACGAGUAGCAAUUAGAGGGCAAGUCUGGUGCCAGCAGCCGCGGUAAUUCCAGCUCUAAUAGCGUAUUUUAAAGUUGUUGCAGUUAAAACGCUCGUAGUUGGACCUUAGGGUUUGGUGGCGUCGGUCCGCUGUUAAAAGUGAGUACCGGCCCAUCGGCUCUCCUUAUGAGAUACUCCCCUGUCGGGCUUAACUGCUCGGCAGGAGCAGCGGCGUCGGGUUGGGAGGCGGGCAACCGUCGCUUGGUCAGGCGUCGCCGGGUUCUCAUUCGUUUACUUUGAAUAAAUUAGAGUGUUCAAAGCAGGCACAUUAACGCCUUGAAUAAUCUAGCAUGGGAUAAUGGAAUAGGCUGUCGGCUUAUUUCGUUGGUUUCUAAGCCAGACAGAAUGAUUAAGAGGGACAGUUGGGGGGUUUUCGUAUUCAAUUGUCAGAGGUGAAAUUCUUGGAUUUGUUGAAGACGAACUACUGCGAAAGCAUCAACCAAGGAUGUUUUCAUUAAUCAAGAACGAAAGUUAGGGGAUCGAAGACGAUCAGAUACCGUCGUAGUCUUAACCAUAAACGAUGCCGACCAGCAUUCGGAGACGUUACAUUGAUGACUCCCCGAGCAGCUUG
rnacentral:rRNA from 1 species